GGUCGACACCAUGUAAUUUCUAUCAGGGAUCACCCAGUCACACAACAAUGACGGUCGUCAUUAAAAAGAGUUACUCGCUAGCUAGUGUUGACAGUCGUUAGCUAGUCACGCCCAUAAAUUAGGACUCGGAGCGCGACAGUUAACUUGUCAUCAAGGUGACGGCCUUCAUCGCUCCCAUACUGCAAUUUUCGCAGAAACAACGACAAAUCCAAAACAAUUCCAAAAUUUGUUAAGUU
rnacentral:lncRNA from 1 species